rnacentral:snRNA from 1 species
GUGCUCACUUCAGCAGCACAUAUACUAAAAUUGGACCAAUACAGAGAAGAUUAGCAUGGCCCCCUGCACAAAGAUGACACGCAAAUUCGUGAAGCAUUCCAUUUUUUA